rnacentral:lncRNA from 1 species
UAAAUUUCUGCGUGUUAAAAAUAACUUCAGAUAUAUCAGUUAAAACAUCAAUAUGACUUUUAAAUUUGGCCCUAAAGAUAACAUCUGGCCAUGUUUAUUCAUACAAAUCCCAAAAAGAAACAGUCCAAGAACUCAUGAUCCAGUUAAAUGAAGCUCCAGUUCCAGUGUAAGUCACGAUCUAUUAGUCCCUUCAAAAAUUUAUUUAUCUUUUGCCUUCAAGAUUACUGUCAAACUUUAAACCCCUCGGCGCGGAGGCACUGUUUAUGGGCUUCAAUCCACUUCCCGCAGGCAGCCUCGCCGUGCUCCACGAUGCAUUCGUCUCUCAGCUUCUUCGUAUCUGGGCAGGCGCAGCAUAUCUUCUUUUUAGGCUUUGAUUCCGGGGGCGGAUUAGGUGAGGUCAGAGCCUCGCUUGCAGCUGGGGGUUGGGGCAAUUUCAAUGGCAACGGCAUCCCGACCUCUACGUUGCUCGUCUUUGCCAUUUGUUCCGAAGUAAGGAAGUGAACUGCAAAACAUUCAAGACAGAGUUAAACCAUAAUGCACCUUGCCUGAUUUUCCGAACUCGUAAUUUUCGGGUUAUCACCGUAGGAGAGAGGUCAUCGUAGUUGCCGUAGGAUGCAGAUUUAAGUGAGAAAAUUUUCAUGACGGAAUAUGUUCCACAAAUGGCAUCCCAAAUCCAAAAAAGGAAACUUCACAAUUUAAUAACUAAAUAGUCCACCUAAAGUACAAGAAUGACAACGCGAUUAUGACCAAAUCAUCCACAUACAAUUACUCAGUCGAAUAACAUCUCCGACGAAGAAUACACCUAAUAAUAGGUUUCUGUAAAAUAGAAAGGGAAAACUGAAUCAUUUCCUGGAAUAACAGAUCAUAAUUUAGGGUAUAGAAAGGUAGCGCGCAAAUGUGAGGAUUUGUAAAUUUACUAAACAGACCGAAGCAUUUCCUUUUAAAACAAGCCAUGGACGAGGGAACACGAAUCCAAUAACAGAAGAACACAUGGUCUUGGUUAGUUUUGGAAAAGUAACAAAUUAUGAUUAUAAUAGAGACAAAUACAAAUCACCAUAGCCCGCUAGUUCAACUAUAACAGAGUCUAACAGGAAAGCACGACUAAUUACAUAUUCCAAUUAUUUUUAUAAAAAAUUUUCGAAAAAAAAAACACAAAGUCUAGCUUAUCCACAGGUACGCAGGGAAAGUUUUUUAGCCGUUGUCUAUAGUACCAUACAACUUCCAUGAACGGUUAUACAUAUAGAUAUAGAAUGAAAUUUUUAUAAGUAUUUCUUGUUUGUUCCCUGUAAACCAGGCAGGCGGCAAGCAAAAUGCUUGACAAAGAAAAAAGUGGCAAGAAAAGAAUGAGAGUGCAUAAGCAUAAUUAGGACAAGAUAAUGACAAAAGGAUGACAAGCACUUGCCUUUGAACAUCAACACGGAUAUGAAAGUUUCAAGAACGGGAAGGCAUUUUUGAAGGUCCAAAAACAGUAAGACCUUUCACAUUGACACAGCAGCAGGAGAUGCGCGUGACUAUGCAAUUAAGAUAUGAUAAAGCUGAUCCGACACAAGCUAAGUAACAGCGAAACAUGAUAAUUUUCAUGAAACAAANGGCGACGGAGAGGGCGGCGAGGUAGGCCUCCGGCGGGUGGCGGUAGCCGGGGCGGAGCGAGGCCCAGCGGAAGAGGUCGAGUGCGAGGUCGGGGUCGGCGGCGGCGCGCACCGCCGCCGCGACGUCGGCGCCGGUGAACCCCGGGCGGAGGCGUUCCACCCAGUUCGCGAACUGCUGCUCCAGCGGGGUGAGCCCGCGAGGACCAGCGCUAGGGUUUGGGUCAGGGUUCGGAGCUGGGGACGAGGAGGAGGAGGAGGAGAGGGGGCGAUUAGGGUUGGGGUUGAGGAGGAGGGAACGGGGAGAGGGGAGAGAGAGGAGGCGCUUGGGUGCGAGUCUCAUUUCCUACUAAAACUGGAAAACGAGGAGGGGAAAGAGAAAUGGCGAUCGAGCUCACCAUCUCAUGCGAAACAAAGAAGAGAAUGGUUAAUUUGCACCGCGAGUAACUUUUCAACUGAAUUUUUCAUUUUGGUCCUUUAAAUUUUACAUUUCACAAUCAAAAUCUCUCUCUCUCUCUCUCUCUCUCUCUCUUUUUUACCACAAUUUUGCCGCAGGAAGAAGCUGCCGCAUAAAACUUCGACGAAGUGAAGUGCUUCUUUUAAUUUCACGCAUUAUUUCGUACAAAAUUACUUUCAGAAAUAAUGUUACAAAGAAGCUCAAUGAUCUGCAUCAUAUAAAUAAAUUUCUUCUCAGUUAAAAGUAACUUAAGAUAAAUCAGUUAAAACAUCAAGAUGACUUUUAACUUUGACCCUAAAGAUAACAUCUGGCCAUGUUUAUUCAUGCGAAUCCCAAAAAGAAACAGUGCAUGAUUCAGUUAAAUGAAGCUCCAGUUCCUGUGUAAGUCACGAUCUAUUAGUCCCUUCAAAAAUUUAUUUAUCUUUUGCCGUCAAGAUUACUGUCAAACUUUAAACCCCUCGGCGCGGAGGCACUGUUUAUGGGCUUCAAUCCACUUCCCGCAGGCAGCCUCGCCGUGCUCCACGAUGCAUUCGUCUCUCAGCUUCUUCGUAUCUGGGCAGGCGCAGCAUAUCUUCUUCUUAGGCUUUGAUUCCGGGGGCGGAUUAGGCGAGGUCAGAGCCUCGCUUGCAGCUGGGGGUUGGGGCGA